rnacentral:rRNA from 1 species
GACGUAGGGCGCGAGCGUUGUCCGGAUUUAUUGGGCGUAAAGAGCUCGUAGGCGGCUUGUCGCGUCGUCCGUGAAAACCUGCAGCUCAACUGCAGGCUUGCGGUCGAUACGGGCAGGCUAGAGUUCGGUAGGGGAGUGUGGAAUUCCCGGUGUAGCGGUGAAAUGCGCAGAUAUCGGGAGGAACACCAGCGGCGAAGGCGGCACUCUGGGCUGGAACUGACGCUGAGGAGCGAAAGCGUGGGGGAGCGAACAGG